GCGCAGCAGGCGCGAAAACUUUGCAAUGCGGGAAACCGUGACAAGGGAACCCCGAGUGCCCGUAAAUUCGGGCUGUUCCGGUGUACAAAAAGCACCGGGAGAAAGGGCCGGGCAAGACCGGUGCCAGCCGCCGCGGUAAUACCGGCGGCUCGAGUGGUGGCCACUAUUACUGGGCUUAAAGCGUUCGUAGCUGGAUUGUUAAGUCUCUUGGGAAAUCUACCGGCUUAACCGAUAGGCGUUCAAGAGAUACUGGCAAUCUAGGGACCGGGAGAGGUGAGAGGUACUCCAGGGGUAGGA
rnacentral:rRNA from 1 species